UACAUUCUGCUCUGACUCCCAGAGAACUGA
rnacentral:piRNA from 1 species